rnacentral:rRNA from 1 species
AUUGAACGCUGGCGGCAGGCCUAACACAUGCAAGUCGAGCGGAUGAAGGGAGCUUGCGCCUGGAUUCAGCGGCGGACGGGUGAGUAAUGCCUAGGAAUCUGCCUGGUAGUGGGGGAUAACGUCCGGAAACGGGCGCGAAUACCGCAUACGUCCUGAGGGAGAAAGUGGGGGAUCUUCGGACCGCACGCGAUCAGAUGAGCCUAGGUCGGAUUAGCUAGUUGGUGGGGUAAAGGCCUACCAAGGCGACGAUCCGUAACUGGUCUGAGAGGAUGAUCAGUCACACUGGAACUGAGACACGGUCCAGACUCCUACGGGAGGGAGCAGUGGGGAAUAUUGGACAGUGGGCGAAAGCCUGAUCCAGCCAUGCGGCGUGUGUGACGAAGGUCUUCGGAUUGUAAAGCACUUUAAGUUGGGAGGAAGGGCAGUAAGUUAAUACCUUGCUGUUUUGACGUUACCAACAGAAUAAGCACCGGCUAACUUCGUG